UACGUAGGGUGCAAGCGUUGUCCGGAAUUAUUGGGCGUAAAGAGCUCGUAGGCGGUCCGGUCAGUCGGUUGUGAAAGUCAAGGGCUCAACCCUUGAAUGCCGGCCGAUACUGCCGGGCUAGAGUCCGGAAGAGGUGAGUGGAAUUCCAGGUGUAGCGGUGAAAUGCGUAGAUAUCUGGAGGAACACCGGUGGCGAAGGCGGCAUCCUGGACCGGUAUUGACGCUGAGGCGCGAAAGCCAGGGGAGCAAACGGG
rnacentral:rRNA from 1 species